UAAGGAAUAUUGGACAAUGGCCGCAAGGCUGAUCCAGCCAUGCCGCGUGCAGGAUGAAGGUGCUCUGCAUUGUAAACUGCUUUUAUUUGGGAAUAAACCCUCCUACGUGUAGGGGGCUGAAUGUACCAAAAGAAUAAGGGUCGGCUAACUUCGUGCCAGCAGCCGCGGUAAUACGAAGGACCCGAGCGUUAUCCGGAUUUAUUGGGUUUAAAGGGUGCGUAGGCGGAUUAUUAAGUCAGUGGUGAAAGCCUACAGCUUAACUGUAGAAUUGCCAUUGAUACUGAUGAUCUUGAGUAUGAUUGAGGUGGGCGGAAUGUGUCAUGUAGCGGUGAAAUGCUUAGAUAUGACACAGAACACCGAUUGCGAAGGCAGCUCACUAAGUCAUAACUGACGCUGAUGCACGAAAGCGUGGGGAGCAAACAG
rnacentral:rRNA from 1 species